rnacentral:lncRNA from 1 species
CAGAAAAGGAACAAACUAAACUCAAAGCUGUCAGAAGGAAGGAACUAAUGAAGAUUAAAGCAGAGAUAAACAAAACAGAGAAUAGGAAAACAACCACAGAAAUCAAUGAAACUACAGUUAGUUCUUUGAAAAGAUCAACAAAACAAAUAUUUAGCCAUAUGGACUAAGAAAAAACAAAUACUCAAAUUAUGUUAAUCAGAAAUGAAACCGAGGACACCACAAAAUAAAAGGAUUACCAAUAAAUUGGAUAAUUUAAAUGCAAUGGACAAAUUCCUAGAAAUGCAAAACCUACUAUAUUAUGUAUGAAUCCUGAAGAAAUAGAAAUAAGUAGAAAAUCUGGAUAGACCUCAUAAUUGGUAAGAAUCAAAACCUUCCAAAGAAAAGUUCUGGACCUGAUGGGUUCAUUAGUGAAGUAUGCCAAACGUUUAAAGAAGAAAUCACAGAAGAGAUUACAGAAAUACUUCUUAAACUUUUCUAGAAAAUACAAAGAGGAGGGAAUAUUUCAAAACUCAUUCUCUGAGGCCAUCAAUUCCUUGAUAUCAGAGCCUGAGAAAGAUUCAAAAAAGCUGUGGAAUAUUCCUAUGAACAUUAAUGUGAAAAUUCUCCACAUUCUAGUAGGAAACUGAAUUAGCAGUAUAUUAAAAGGAUUAUACACCAUGACCAAGUUGAUUUAUUCCUGGAAGCAGACAUGUUUCAACAUAUGAAAAUAUAUGAACAGAAUGCACCACAUUAACAGAAUGAAGGGAAAAUAAAUACAUGGUGGUCUCAAUUAAUUCAGAAUAGGUUGUCGAUAAAAUUCAAUACCAGUUCGUGAUAAAAACGCUCAACAAACCAGGAAUAGAAGGAAAAUAUGUCAAUAUAAUAAACACUACUUGUGAAAAACUCACAAGAAUAUCAUAUUCACUUUUCCUCUCAGAUCAGGAAUGAGGCAAGGAUGCCCAAUAUUACCUCUUCUGUUUAGCACAGUACUAGAGAUUCUAGCCAGAGCAAUAGGCCAAGAAAAAGAAAUAAAACAUAUUCACAUUAUAAAGGGUGAUGCAAAAUUACUUCUGUUUCAGAGGAUGUGAUUUUAUAUGUAUAAAAUUUGAAAGGUUCUAAAAAGAAACUACUAGAACUAAUAAACGAAUUCAGCAAAGCAGCAGGAUAUAAAGCCAGCAUGCAAAGAUGAGUUGCAUUAGCAUAGGUUAACAAUGAAAAAUCUGAAAAGGAGAUUAUGAAAACAAUUCCACUUUUAGUAGCAUUAAAAAUAAUAAAAUACUUAGUAGUAACAUCACCAAAGAUGUGAAAGACAUACGUUGAAAAUUAUAAAAUAUUCCUAAAAGAAAUUAAAGAGAUACAAAAAAUGGAAGCAUCUCCCAUAUUCAUGGCUUGGAAGGGUUAACAUUGUUAAAAUGUCCAUGCCACCCAUUGUGUGUUGUCAACAGACUCAAUGCAAUCCCUAUUGAUGUCCCAGUGACUAUUUUUUCAGGAACAGAAAAAUUCAUUCUAAAAUUCAUAUCUCAAGAGACUAUGAGUAGUCAAAACAAUCUCAGAAAAGAAGAGUGAAGCAAGAGGACUCAGAUUUUCUGAUUUCAAAGCUUACUACAAAGCUACAGUAAUCAAAAUCGUAUGAUACUGACAUAUUCGAUUAAAUAGAAUAUAGACUGAAGGGACAAAAUAGACAGCUCAGAAC